UGCGGCCCACACCAAUUUGACAGCCCAUCAUUCGGCCGCCCAUUUCAACCAUCAUUCGACCGCCCAUUCCAAGCCCACUGCUGACCAUAAUCUAAAGUUAAACCGUCAGCAUACCAAUUUUGACUUCAAUUUUUUACUAGCCCCAUACGGAAUCUGACCAUGAGUAGAAACCCUAGGACGAGUGUUUUAUUGUGAAAGCCAACCAUGAGGGCCAGAAUCAUCUGGAUUCGACAUCGGAAACCUUGCUGGAGAAGCGUCAUCGCAAUGGUACCGGUAGUAGCAGCGUUGGGUGACGUGACCAAACCUAGAACAGAUCUGGCACUAGAGGCGAGUCCGAAAGCUCCUACCGCGACCGCUAGAGAUAGAACGACCACCACACGUAGAACCAUCCAUGGCCGUCGUCGAAGAAUCUUCCACCAGAUUCCCGACAUAAACUACCUCCUGAAUCGCUUGUACUUGCCGACUCUCGCACUCGACUAGAGCGUCCACCAGACAUUGAAACAGCAGAGGAGUCAGAGAUAGCGAGACAGAGGACACCACAGUUUCAAAUUCAGCGGAGAGAUCCGCAAGCAACACCGUCGUUUGCUCCGUCGCCAGGAUGGGGGAUCCAGACGCGUCCAAGAAAGCACAGAUCCCUUUCAACUUUGCAACGUAAUCACGGAUCAACAAACUCCCUUUCUUGAGAAAAUGCAGUUCAUGACGCAAACGCGAUUGUUUCAGAUCCGUAUCGGCCGUAAACAUUGCCAACGUCGUCAUUCACACAUCAGAGGCCGAUUUGACAUCCAAAAAUGAAGAUAAAAUUGACAAAUUUAUGGUGGAGAGAAGCCACGACGUGAGUAGAUUAUCCUGCUGUUGAAAUGCUGACACCGCCGGAUUAAGAACAAGUGCACCAUCCGGCGCUUGUAUAAACCUCGACGGAGCAGAGAUAGAACUGUCAAGAAAACCAAAUAAGUCAUAACCAUUGACAAUAAACUGAACAUGUUGCUUCCAUUGAAGGAAUGUUCCUUCAUCGAGCUUUACAACCUCAUGCUGAGGAAAAGAAUGAACCACACGAUCAGCAGCAAAGACAGAGCCAUGCGGUUCAGCAGAGUCUGAGGCAGCAGAAUUUGUAGUAGCCAUGAAAGGGGAUCACCGAGCGACUGAUACCAUGAAGAAAUAUAGGUAAAAUGAAGAAUUAUAGGUAAACUCCUUGAAUCUUGAAAUGAACUGAGACUAGCUUGUGUUUACAAUUUUAAAUCUAGUGUUGAAAAUCUGUCUAAUACAAUGUCCACACAGUUUAUAUAUAGUCAUUAGAGUAACUGCUUCCCUUAACAGCUAGCUAGCAACUUAGAUCUCCUAACCACCUUUUAACUGACUCAUAUUAUCUUUAACCCAGUAGAAACCCGUAAAACGAAUGGGGUUGUUAUUCUCCAAGUGAAUCAGAGAAUCAAUAUCUUUGCUAGAAUAAUUUUUUAUUUCAACCUUAGUACUCUCUUUCAACAUCAUAACGAGGCCACCACUUUUCCCAAUAGUGUUAACAGCCUAACACCCUUCCAUCCUGCACUUACUGCGAAUAGAUGAAAAUUUAUUAGCAUGAAUUUUUGUUUCACAUAAGAAAAUUAUCUCAGGGUCGUUUGCAACAAAAAGUUGCUUUAAUUCACGAAUUGUCGCAGAGUUUCUGAUCCCACGACAAUUCCAGCAAAGGAUCUUCAUUGCUCUUGGCGGGGCUGAUCGCCAGCCGCUGCCUUGCAUGGUGAAAGAUUAUCCAGCAGAACCCUUUAUCUCUUUCUUUUGCUUUUUAGCCAUUCCAGUCCAUCACUCAUAGAUUUAUUAUUUCUUUUUUCCAUUGGAGAAUUAGAUAUUGAUUGCUCUUCACAUCCUUUCUUUUUUUUUUUCUUUCUGUAGGAGUUGCCCACUAUCAUCCCUUGUGUCUGUUUUGCUCUCCUCUUUUGUCUUCAUUCGAUAGAAUUUUUGUUGCCACAAUUUCAACUCCUUUUCGCCAAAUGCCAGUCUUGAUUCGGAACCACUAUAUUUAUAUAUUAAGAUUUUAAAAUUUUAGGAAUUUAAAGAAUACAUAUCAAUAUUUAUCUUUGAAAUGUGGGUUAUGAUUACCUGUAAUAUUAUCACAACUUAAAAAAAAUAGUUGCUAUGAUUUUUCAGUAACAAUACUAAUAUAUUAUAAUCGUAAUCAUCAUCGUCUACCACCUUUUAUAAAUGUUGUGUAAUAAAUGAAUGAUAAGCUUGAAAUAAGAAAAGUGAAAAAAUAUUUUUCAAAAAUUUAGAAUUUUUUUAAGAAUUAUAUAUAGGCAUUUUUAAAUUUUUUUUCCGAAUUUUUAAAACUUUUUAUUAUUAUAUUUUAAAAAAAUACUUUAUAUUUUUUUUAAAAAAAAAUAAUGAAGUUUAUUUUUUAAAAUUUUUUAUGAUAUUUUAGAUUUUUUAUAAUUAUAAUUAAAAAAUUAUAAAAAUAUCAAAGUGAUAUUUUAACUAAUUCAGAGAUCAGAUUAUAUAUUAACCCUUGAGUUAAUGUAUCAUAUCAUCAUUCUGUUAAAGGCGUUAGCUAAAGGGCAAAUAAUUAAAAUGCUACAAAAUAAUAAUGUGAGUGAUCAAAUUGUAAUAUUUAAUAGUUGAAUCAAAACAUAAAAUUUAAUUAUAAUUCAAUUAUAAUUCAUAUAAUUUACCUUUCCUAUUCCAUAAUACCAAGUCAUAAUCUUAGUAUUAAAAUAAGAACUCUUCUAAUAGAAAACAAACUCUGGUGGAAGAAGGCAUAGAACAUGAGUCGAUUGAAACACCGAUGAGACUUAUCAGAAACAUCGAAUCUCAGCAUCAUAAGAAUUUUUGCUUUUUGGGUUAAAAAAAAGGAAUAUGUAUUAUUGAACUCCACAUGAAUGCUUUCAAUAAUUUUAAAGAUUCUAAAUUAAAAUUUUCACCACAACCUUGUUGCUGUGUACCCAUCAAGAACAAAGAAAUACGUGAAAGAAAUUUUCAAUGGAAUCCUUGGACCUCCUUUUAAUAUUCCGCACGAAAUUGAAAGCAUAUAUAUACGAGAUUUUCUGCCAUAAAUUCGUAUUUGAACUUUAUUUUCAUUUAUCUCUAGAAUUUUAUGUGAGAAAGAUUAUUAAUUUAUUUAGGGUAAAUUACAUCGCAAGUCGCUUUAAAAUAGUAUCGUUUUUAUUUUGGUUAGUUUAAUUUUUUUUAUCAAUUUAGUCAUUCUGACUAAUAUAGUUGCUCAUAUCAGUCACUAUCAUUAAAAAUUCCGUUAACCCACUAACGAAUUGUUGAUGUGGCUUUUUCUUCUUCUUUUUUUACAUUUGACUAAAGUUAGGAACCUCUCUAGUCCAAAACACUCCUUUUUUGGUUUAUUUGCAACAUAAGAACCACCAAUCAUCAUCGCCGCCCAACACCCACCACCAGCUCUAUCUCUAUCUCUAUCUCACUUCACUCCGCCGCCCCCAUCUCUUCCACCUAAAAUGAUUUUACCUUUAUUUUCUAUUUGCUUAUGUAUACUCUAAAGUUAAAACUCUUUAGGGUGUGAUGCCAAAUCUCAGAAUUCAACUCAAUGCGGUCUCUGUUGUUAAUCUUGUUAUGUUAGUGGGCAUUGUUGUUGAGUUCUGCAUGCAUAUAACACAUGCAUUUUCAGUUAAUAUCAUUCAACUUACGAGUUCCUUUUGCAUGUAGCAACUAGAAUAGAAAUGAAAGGGUAAAGGUGUAACACCCCAUGCCCGACCUGGUCUCCAGGUCCGAGCUACAGGGUGUCACAUUCAUUGCCUGAGCAACUACGAAUAAAUUCAAUUCAAUACAACCAUGAAUAUAUGAUAAUAUAUAUUAGCCCUUUAAAAUAUAUUAUACAAUCAUUUUCGAGUCUUAUAUGAGCUUAUGAAAUCUCUUUUUCCAACUCGAGAUCAAAAUAAGACCAAACUAUAAAGUUUGCAAAUUAUCUGGUUGGCAUUGAGACUUCGAGGAUUCCUCAUCGUAACGCAACUUAUUGACGUGAUCUCGUUGUUACUUUAAGGGCAUGACGUCGCGACAUGACCAUCAGUUUGUAAAUAGUCCAAGUGGUACCUAAUCAAAACAAUCAUUCAAUUUAACAUGCAUACAAAAUCAACCACUUAAGUAUUCUAACCAUUUCCAUUUGCUAAAUUUCAUCCUUUUGCAUCAUAAUUACCUAUACAUUACACAUUCAACAUGUGAAACUUUCAUCAUUUCAACCAUCUAGCCAUUUCAGUAACAUUUCUAUUUCUACCUAUGUCAUACCAUCAUCCAUAUACAUUUACAUAUAUAUAUAUAUCAAUUUGGUGCUCAAUUUUAUUUUACCAUUUCUAUUACUUUCGAUAUAACUGUUCAAUUUUCCAGUGGUGUCGGAAAUAGUGGUUUUAGGAUCACAAUUCCGACGAAUGAGUACUACAAGUCAAAUAUAGUGUUAUAUUGAAUUUUGGUCUGAUAAAGUUUAGUGGUUGGAUGAUUAGUUAAGGUACAAGGUCUAAAUCGUAAAAGUUAAUCAUUGUUGAUUUUUAUUAGUUCAAAUGCUAAAAAGGUACAUGAUUGAGGUUUUAUGUGGAAAAUUGACCAUUUUAAAGUUAGUGGGACAGUUAGUGCAUAUUAAUAAUGAUUUAUGUGUUAAAAUAAAAGUUAAAAAUAUAAUAAAACAUUAACCAAAAGCCAUCAUCUUUCUAUUUUCCAUCUUCUACCGAUUCUUCACCAUUGUUAAGAGAAGGAAAAAGCUUCAAACUCCCUUGAAUAAUCGUCUUUGCAUGGUGAGCCCUCCUAAGUCUAUUUUUCGUAAUUUUUAUGUUUCUGAUAUCGUUAUAACUCGAUUUAGCUAAAUUUUACCUCUGUUUUCAAAACUGUUAAAGUUUUUAACUAUUUAUAUUUAUGGUUUUUUUAUGUUUUUGAUGUUAAACAACUUGUUUGUAAGCUUAGAUUUGAUUAUGGACUAGAUUGUAAAGAGAAAUUUGUUAGUAUUGAGUUUAGAGACUAAAAUGUAAAAAUGUUAAAUUUUAUAUGAAAUUUUUGUAAUUAUAGUUUCUAGUGGGUUAUAGAAGGGUGAAAUUGAAAUCAGAUUGAAAAUUAGGGAUUAAAUGUGAAAGAUAUGAUAGUUUCGAUUUUAGGGACUAAAUUAAAUAAAAAUGUGAAACUUUAGGUAAAUUGUGUAAAAUGAAAUUAAGUUGUUAUAUGCAUAUAAUAAGAAGUUUUAAGGUAAUUGGCACUGAUAAUUUCAAAUGAAUUACCAUAUAGAUCAAGAUUUGAGCCAACCGAUAGAUAACCAAAGAAAAGGGAAAAUUACAUAUUAAUCCCUAACACUUCUAUUUUUUGUUGCACCUAGUAAGUUCAUAUGGUGUAGUUAUAUUCAUAUAUGUUAUGUUUGUGAUUUAAUCUUGAAUUUAUAACAUUUGAUUGUACUUUACAAUGUUUACAAUUUAGUACGAAAGGUGAGAAAUGGAUUAAGGACUUAAUUGUAAAGUUUUGCAUACUUGAUGACUAUAGUUCAUUUGGAAUGUUGAAUGAUAUGACAUGGUUACGAUAUAUGUUCUGAUUCAUGGAAAGCCUUUGGCAAUGUAAAUAAUCUGAAUUUUGUAUAAAUGCCCGUUUGAACUUAAUAAAUGAUUAGGAUACGAUUGACAUGCCAAUAAGAUUAGUUGCGCACUUGUACAGGUUUCGCACUUCAGUGCCUGCUGCUCUAAACUUCGGAGCCUAUUGAUUUGUACUUCGGUGCCUUGAAGCACCUUUUUUUUUACCCAAUCGCCAAGUCUGAGCAACGAAUACGAAAACAAUCUGAAUAACUUAACACAUAUAUAUUCUAAUCUAAAUACAUCUAUAGACAACUUGGGCCUUCAAAUUACUCCUUGAAAUCUAUAGACACAACGUAUUAGUUCCAAUUUCUUACAAUUUGACACUUUUAAUGAUCUAACAGUUAUUUCUAAUUUACAAUUCGACCCGUUUAGACUCAGUCAACUUCAACCCUGAGGCAUGGCCUCUGUGGGUGCCCCUCUAUAUACAUGAACAACUACCACGCACCAUGUAACUCCGGAGGAGUCUGGCUUGGUCCCUCUUGAUUUGUUUUUCUAAAUCUUUAUCUAACAUGCAUUCAAGCAGCAAUUUUAUAAACUCAGAAGAACUUAGUGAGAUCUAUACAUUGCAUGUAAGAUUUCAUAAAUUUUAAGAAAUUCAGAUUUCUGGUUCAAAAUUAAACUUCCUAGACUUCAUAGGAGAUUACGUGAGCUGAAUUGGCAAGGUCCAUGCAUUAUACUCUCUGAGUCAUUUAUUGAAAGACUUAAACCCUAGUUUGAUCCCAACCAUGUCCCCUUAUGGGUCUCACCCCAUCCCCAUCUCUCAUUAUUCUACAAUCCUGAUACUCGUAUUCAUUAUUUCUAGCUGGCGACAGUUGGCGACUACCCAAGUAAUUACCAUAACUGCGGUCUUUACCAAAAUAUGAUAUCCUCACUACCUUAGAAAACUAGUGCCCACAAUGCAGUACCAUAAUACCUACCUUUUCAGCCCAUUCCUUUAAAAUGCUCCAAUAGACAUAUGGUAUCAACGUACUAUUUCCUUCUCAAAUGUUUUGUGAAGGUUUCCACCCUUAGUAGAUCGACAAGACUUUUACCUUGUUUCAUGGUCCUGAUGGGCCUUCACUUUUCACAUGCUCUAGCGGACUUUAUUGAACAUUUAGCCUUGAGUUGGCUUUUCCUCUCAUAAAGAAUCUUAUCUGUCUACCCAAUCUUUCAGCUACUGCUUGUCGACUUACAAUUUAAGACUGAUCUUAUUAUAGCCUAUUAUGUAUCUGCUUAAACAAUAUGGGAUCCGCGGUUUUCCUAGCGGACUCUUUUUUAUGUACGCUACGUUUACCUCCUUAUCUAAGGAAUCUCUUCCUCCUUUCACCCUAACUAGGUUGUGACACUUCCUUGGCUCCACCCAUUAUCGCCAUUGGCGAAUUCUCUCAUUAUCUCGAUGAUCUAUGUUCCCCAAAUGAACUAAGUUUAUUCAUUCUUGUGACUUAUCACACUCAUCACAUAGUGAACCCUAUUUUAUACCUUGGCAUGUCUCCUGGUAUACCUUUUUGCGAACAUCACACGAGUAACCCCAUGUUUUACAUCCUGGUGGACUUUCCCGUGCUUAUUGUCCCGGCAGGCAACCCAAUGUUUAGUUUUCUGGAGAACCCUCUAUGUUGCCAUGGCCAAGCCAUGGUCUUAGACAUUAUUCCCCAUGUUUAAUGCCUUGGCAGACUCCAUUGGUUUCCAUAGCCGAGCUAUGGUCUUACACCUUAAACCUCUUUGAGGAGUCACCACGAAGGACAUUACUUUCGUCAUAGUGUUGCCCCAUAGAGCCUGCUGACCACCGUCGUGGUAUUGCUCUAUAGAACCUAAUAAUCGUCAUCACAAUGUCACCACGAAGGACUAGUCAAUAUCAUUUCACUUAACAAUUAAUUUUGAUGCUUGAACAUCGCAGUUUCACACAUCACGAUUUGCACCCAGCAACAAAAUAUGGUGAAAUCUUAAUGGAAUUUCAUUUCCCUAUCCAUCCUCACAUUCUUCCAUUUCAUCACUUUUAACCUUGAUGCUCGAACACCAUAGUGUCCCCUUCACAUGGCCCGAAGCUUAGCUCAUCAUAGUUUGUGCCUAGCAACAUUGUAUAAUAGUAUACAGAAACACUAUUUCCCAAAUCCUAACUCCAUCUAACCAGUCAAUAAUUUCCCUUUGCACUAUGCAUAAUUACCCAAUCAUAUCAUACAAUUUUAUCAUUAUACAUACAUCAUGCCAGUUUACCUAUCAUCAACUAUCAACCAUAAAACAACCAACAGACAACUGGAAAGAGCUCACAUAGUAUUGUGCACAAACACAACCUACCCUUUCUUCAAGCACACACACACCAUAAACUUAGGCAACUCCAUACAUAAUCAACAACACAUAUGCAAAGCACAUGACAUCAUCUGUCAUCCAGAAGGUAAGGUAUAGAGACUCACCUGGAUUCCUUUAUCCUUAUCAGCUUAGCUUGUCCAAGCAUCAGAGCCUUCUCUAUCUUGGUAGUUAAGCAUGACAAUCAUUUAUCAGUUAACUCAAAGGCAUUCAAACCUUAAAACCCAGAAUUCAUAAUUAUUCAGAAGCUUUUAAAAUUUCUUACUCUACUUAUUUCUUUAAUCCACAAGUACAGAGAGGUAAGGAAGCUUAGCAGUUCAUCAACUUCUCUACUACCAGACUUCAAUUCAUAUAUUGCUAUGACAUGCAGAACUUCCUUUAACUAUAUCCUCUUCUUCUUCAAAGUGACUAAAGAAGAUGAUGCUAUGGAGAGAUAAAUUUGUAAACAGAAUUGAGAAAAUUUUGUCUCCACACACACCUAUAUAUAUACACUUUUAGCACGAUCUUCACUGACCAUCUCUACCAUUCAUCCCUAAUCAUUUUGUCUCCCACUAUGGAACCAGUUAGUUAUAUCCUAACCAAACCAGAAUUGAGAUCCAACUAAUCACAAUUCGACCACUAAAAUUUUUGAAUUUCCCAGUGGAGUCCAAAAAUUUCCUAAUCCUUUCAAUUUAAUCCUAAUUUUCCUUAGAUUUCAAGUCAAUAAAGAUAAUCAGGUGUCAUAUGCCUACUGCUCUGCACUUCGGUGCUUACUGUUAAAGUACUACAGUGCCUACUGGUGUCGUAUAGUUACCCGUGUAUCCAUAUUUGUUCAUUAUAGUUCAUCACGCUAAUCAAUUAUUGAAAUAUGGAAAUGACAGAAUGAUUAUAUGUGUUUAAUUGGAAAUGUUAUAUGUUGUUAGAAUGAUGAAAAUAAGACAUAAUCAAUAAUUAUGAUUAAAUGAAACUGAACUAAAUUGAUAUGUUAUAUGAUGAUUGAAUAAUGUAACUAUAGUAUAUAACAAUUCGACAAUAUUGAUCAAACGACAUUGAAUUGAAGUACAUGGUUUUAUCGUAGAAAUGAUGAUUGAAUGUGAUAUACUCACCUUGUAUUUGUGAAAUGUUGUAAUAGGAAAGUUGUAUAGUUAGCUAGUUCGUUAUGUUAAUUAUGAUUUAAUGUGAGUUUAUUGUUUUAGUUCUUAUGGACUUGCUAAGCAUACUUAAUGCUUACUUUGUUUCUUUUUUUUUUGUUUCUAUAGUUGUCUUUUGCGAAACUCGGCGAUCAAAUCAUCCCUAAGCUCACACUAUCUAGCUGUUGUCUCGGUAGACUUUUUAAUUGUUCUAGACUCAAUUAUGUGGCAUGUAUAUAGGUUAAAUAAGUAUAACUGUUAUUUUGAAAUGAAGACGUUGAUGGUAUAGUUGAAAGGUGUGAAAUUGAAAAUUUUGAGAUGUGAAUAUG
rnacentral:lncRNA from 1 species